rnacentral:rRNA from 1 species
UAACACGUAUCCAACCUGCCGUCUACUCUUGGANAGCCUUCUGAAAGGAAGAUUAAUACAAGAUGGCAUCAUGAGUCCGCAUGUUCACAUGAUUAAAGGUAUUCCGGUAGACGAUGGGGAUGCGUUCCAUUAGAUAGUAGGCGGGGUAACGGCCCACCUAGUCUUCGAUGGAUAGGGGUUCUGAGAGGAAGGUCCCCCACAUUGGAACUGAGGCACGGUCCAAACUCCUACGGGAGGCAGCAGUGAGGAAUAUUGGUCAAUGGGCGCAGGCCUGAACCAGCCAAGUAGCGUGAAGGAUGACUGCCCUAUGGGUUGUAAACUUCUUUUAUAAAGGAAUAAAGUCGGGUAUGUAUACCCGUUUGCAUGUACUUUAUGAAUAAGGAUCGGCUAACCCCGUGCCAGCAGCCGCGGUAAUACGGAGGAUCCGAGCGUUAUCCGGAUUUAUUGGGUUUAAAGGGAGCGUAGAUGGAUGUUUAAGUCAGUUGUGAAAGUUUGCGGCUCAACCGUAAAAUUGCAGUUGAUACUGGAUAUCUUGAGUGCAGUUGAGGCAGGCGGAAUUCGUGGUGUAGCGGUGAAAUGCUUAGAUAUCACGAAGAACUCUGAUUGCGAAGGCAGCCUGCUAAGUUGCAACUGACGUUGAGGCUCGAAAGUGUGGGUAUCAAACGGGAUUAGAUACCCUGGUAGUCCACACGGUAAACGAUGAAUACUCGCUGU